GGACAAAUUAGGACUGGUAAAGGAAACCCUUAUGGGGUAGAAGAAAAAGAAAAAGGAAAACUAGUCUUCCCAUGGGAAGAAGGAAGCAAACACCUUUUCCGGCUGGGCUAAAGCUUUUCCUAUCAGGACUGAGAUGGCCAAUUUGGUAGCCAAGAAGAUCCUAGAAGAAAUCUUCUCAGAGUUUGGGAUACCUAAGGUAACUGGAUCCGAUAACAAUUUGUUGCCCAGCCUUUGUUCUCUAGGCUCAAGGCGCCCGAGUGAGUGAGACAGUGAGUGUGGAAGCAGCUCCAGAAGGCCUACUCAAGAGAAGGAGACCUGCAAGCCCCACAUCGCUUCCAAGUUAGAGAUUUGGUCUACAUUAGACCCCACUGUGCAGAAAACAUUGAGACUCGGUGGAAAGGCCGUUAUCUUGUCCUCUUGACCACCCUACUUUCUACCCUUAUGGGACCCCUUUUGAUUUUGAUUCUGCUUUUAAUUAUAGGCCCAUGUGUGUCAAACAGACUAGUUGCCUUUAUUAGAACAAGAAUUCGUUCAUUGCAGCUUUUAGUUUUGAGACAACAGUACCAUGCCCUAAAGGAUCAAGUGUGUCAGAGAGAAGAUAGUGUCUAGUUCUAAGAUUAGAACUACUAACAAAUAGAAGUAGGGAAUAAAAAAGUGUAACAUAAAAACAAAAACUAGGCUUUUAGGCCCAGGCUUGAGAAUGUGACCUUUGUGACUCAGUACCCCAAGGUAUGCUAAUCAUAAAACAGAUAGCGACAUUCCUCCACCCACCGGCUUCCUGGGUUCAGGGAGUGUUGUUCAAAAAGGACCACCCUGACCAUUCAUGGAACCUGCUAUGCAAAUGUGCUAUUGUAGGAGGCUCAUAGAAACUGUCUUGAGAAAUAAUCUCACAAUUAUCAGGUGUUUUUCCUUGUGACUUCCUUAUGACUUGUAACUGGUAUUUUUGGUAUUUUCCAAUAAUGCCCUCCCCACCCCCUUGAGUUGUGGUUUCUUCCUUUAAAUACCCCCUUACCCAGCUACUCAGGGUGCCACGGUCCUCUAUCCCUUCGAGGUGUAUGACUGUGGGCCUGAGAGUGCUCUUGAAAUAAAAGUCCUCUUGUAGCUUGCA
ensembl:processed_transcript Gm28893 predicted gene 28893